rnacentral:lncRNA from 1 species
AGAUCUGAUGGUUUUAUAAGUGUUUGACAGUUCCUCCUACUCUCUCUCUCUUUCUGUCUGUUUCUCUCUCUCUUUCUUUUUCUCUCUCUCUCACACACAUGCACACACUAUUAUCACUAAUUUAAUUAAUAUCUAGUGAAUUAGGAAUUGUUUCAAAUAAUGACAUUUUGUCCUUAAUUCCCCUACAUCUCAUAUAAUGUUUAUGUCUGAUUAUGACAUUUCUUCCUUGAAUUUUGUCCUUAAAAUGCAUUCCCUUUUUGACCAAAACCCCUUGUAAGGAUACUGUUGGCACUAGAAGGAAAGCCAGAAUCUACAGUUUUUAAAGUCACUUUCAGUCCAUUUUUCUUUGCUUAGCCCAAAACCUUAAAAAGGCUAUUCACUCUUU